AGAACGAACGCUGGCGGCGUGGAUAAGACAUGCAAGUCGAACGGGACUUUUUUUCGGUAGCAAUACUGAGAAAAGUUUAGUGGCGAACGGGUGCGUAACACGUGGGGAAUCUGCCGAGAAGUGGGGGAUAGCUCGCCGAAAGGCGAAUUAAUACCGCAUAUGAUCAGGGAAGACAUCUUUCCAACAUCAAAGCCGGGGCAACCUGGCGCUUCUUGAU
rnacentral:rRNA from 1 species